UACGGGGGGUGCAAACGUUGCUCGGAAUUAUUGGGCGUAAAGCGCACGUAGGCGGCUUUCUAAGUCGGGGGUGAAAUCCUGGAGCUCAACUCCAGAACUGCCUUCGAUACUGGAGAGCUCGAGUCCGGGAGAGGUGAGUGGAACUGCGAGUGUAGAGGUGAAAUUCGUAGAUAUUCGCAAGAACACCAGUGGCGAAGGCGGCUCACUGGCCCGGUACUGACGCUGAGGUGCGAAAGCGUGGGGAGCAAACAGG
rnacentral:rRNA from 1 species